rnacentral:rRNA from 1 species
CCUACGGGUGGCAGCAGUGAGGAAUAUUGGUCAAUGGCCGGAAGGCUGAACCAGCCAUGCCGCGUGAAGGUCAGUGCCCUAUUGGCGUUAAACUUCUUUUGUGCGGGAGCAAUACUGGUCACGUGUGGCCAGACGAGAGUACCGUACGAAUAAGCAUCGGCUAACUCCGUGCCAGCAGCCGCGGUAAUACGGGGGAUGCAGGCGUUAUCCGGUUUUAUUGGGUUUUAAGGGUGCGCAGGCGGAUUUUUUAGUCAGCGGUCAAAUCGUGGGGCAAAACCCCAUACAGCCGUUGAAACUGGGGAUCUAGAGAGUACUAGAGGUAGGCGGAAUGCGUGGUGUAGCGGUGAAAUGCAUAGAGAUCACGCAGAACCCCGAUUGCGAAGGCAGCAUACCGGUGCACAACUGACGCUGAGGCACGAAAGCGUGGGUAGCGAACAGGAUUAGAUACCCUAGUAGUC